CUUCUCUGAAACAUGGCUGCGGGGCUGGGCCACGGGGCCUUCCUCCUGCGAAGUUUUCCUUAGGAUGUUCGGAACUUCAGCGGGAACCACCGUGUGCGAUUCCUGUCGACCUUAAAUGCCGACUCUGCGGAAAGGUUUCCCGGACAGGCCAGCCUCUUUUCCACGGCCAUCCCUGGGGGCAGGUGCUUGCCGGGAUUCUGUAUCCGCUUAACAAACUGAAUAUGGUGAAAACAAGCACCUAGGGCAACCUAGAAACUGAAAGAAAAGGAUAGGGAGAGACUAUCUUACGCAUCGAAAGCCUGGAGGCUAGAAGACUAGGAUGAAGCAAGAGGUUGCUACAAGAAGACUUCUCCAAGGUGUGGGACCUCGCAUCAGCGAGAACAGGGACUGCAAAGGACACCUUCUCCCUCCCUAAAGCUUGGAAGCCCACACUGACCAUGAUGGAAAGGCAGAACGUGAUUACAACUUGAUCUCUUCGCCUUGAACUUGGAAGUAACAGCUUGCCCUGCCAGUUCUCUGAAGCGGCUGGUGCUGCAGGGGAGGGAGGGGGUCCUCGUCUUCUCCCUGCAUGAGAACAGCAGGUAUCGGGUACCCCGCUGCGGGAGGCCCACAACUGAGUUCCAAUGAAGGAGCCCCCAAAGCAAACAGUCUAAAGCUCCGGACCUUCCUAAAACCACUUUGCCACCCGACUAAAGCCAGAUGGCCUGAAUGUAUUCCAAGUCGUCUCCUUGUGCGGAAAAUCCCUUAAGAUUCAAAUUUCAGAGUCCUGGGCCCGGACUCAGACCUACUAAAUUAGCUUUUCGGGGGGUGGGCCCUGGACAUUUGCAUUUUGCAGAUUUAGGGGAUUCUGAGGCAUCCUAGAGUUUAGGAAACGCUGGAUUUGAGAACUAAAGACUUAAACUCUUUCUCAGAAAAAUUUGGCCCGGUGCGAUCAUAAACGUCUUUAGACCAGUAUUUUUCUCAAGCUCCCUUUUGCUACGAUGUUAACCAGGCCCUGGGGAGGUGCAGGUUCAUUACAGAACACAAGAUCUGUUCACAGAAGGUGGCAUCCCGUUCAUCUAAAUGCCUCUGACUUGCUAAUCCUGCUGUUGGCGGCUUAAUAGUUUGCUCUGAACAAAAGGAGCAGAGACAGCAGGUGAAUCUGAUUUGUGCUUGCAGUUGCCAUGGCAACGGCAGGCAGCCGAAAUCGCUGGCUAGAAAGGACCCCCUCCCAGGCCAUCCCUCCGUUCCAUUGUGAAAGCUCCGGCUCUGCUCGCCUCAGACUGGAAAUCUGGCCUCCUUGGGGCAGGGUUGAUAAAUGUGUAUUCCCAAAAGAAGUAAAUAGGAAAUCGUGCUUUCCUACCGCUCUGUUUUCUUCUCUUACGUGUCUUCCAAAAGCAUCUCAGCAUAACCCAAACAGGAUGGAAAUUCUUCUCAUCUCCUGGCAUAAAUCUCAUCUUGCCUCCUGCUUGCUGGGGAAUAGGAGGAGGUGAGCUCUAUGACUACUUGAACCAGUAGACUAUGGCAGAAAUGAUGCUGUGACCCCCACUCAACAUUGCCUGAUGCUGGAGUUAACCUAAUCACCCUUGGUUGAGUGACCUUCUGAGGUCCUGGGAGGUAAGCUUUACUGCAAGUGAAAAUACUCUGCUUUUCUCCGUCAAAGAGACAUCAUCUUAACAUCCAGACUCUGACACUGCGUGCAGUAGGACAAGAGGUCUCCCCACCUCUGGAAACAAGCUCAAGAUUUCCGUUUAUAUCACGCACCAAAAGUUGGAUGGUCCCAAGAUGGAGCCAUCUCUACCCGGACAAGACACACCCAUUGACUCCUCCCUGGUUUUAAUAAAUAGCCCCAGGAAGUCAGUCUCUUCCUUCCGCUUACAAGGGCCAUGGGAGCGCUCUGGACUGCUUUUGAAUUCAGCAGCUUCGGCGAGUGCUAAUUGUUUUUAUUCUGUGAAUUUAGAAUUGGGUAGUUUGGAGCAGCAUGAUGAAGGCAAAUUCAUGCAAAAGUACAUCCCCAGGAUUUCCUGUAAGAAUCUCUUAUUCCGGUGGCAGUUAGGAGUUUUUACAAGUACUUAU
ensembl:lncRNA